GGACACUAGAGAACCUGUGAAGCAUAGUAAUCUGCAGGAUUUCUGAAAAUUGGAUCAAUAUUCUAGUCUAAUAAAUUUGUACUUUUAUCUCAUUGUCUGGAUGCACCACUGUAGAAACACCCAUUGGUACCAUCUCUACUCCUGUUGAUGGCCGUACCGGUCAGGAAGGGCGGACCUACUAUCGCCCUCACUCAAAAUCUCCAACCUAAGUUAGCCAAUAAUAUUUCACCGUAUA
rnacentral:lncRNA from 1 species